rnacentral:rRNA from 1 species
AGGGUUCGAUCCUGGCUCAGGAUGAACGCUGGCGGCGUGCUUAACACAUUCAAGUCGAACGGAGUUCAAUUGGGAGCUUGCUCCCGGCUGAACUUAGUGGCGGACGGGUGAGUAAUGCAUGAGCAACCUGCCUUCAGGAGGGGGAUAACAUCGGGAAACCGGUGCUAAUACCGCAUAGAGCAUUUUGCAGGCAUCUGCGAGAUGGGAAAGGAGCAAUCCGCCUGGAGAUGGGCUCAUGUCUGAUUAGAUAGUUGGUAGGGUAACGGCCUACCAAGUCUGCGAUCAGUAGCCGGACUGAGAGGUCGAACGGCCACAUUGGAACUGAGAUACGGUCCAG